UUUUUUCUGUGUAUAAAUUUCGAAAGUUCAACUGAAACUAAUUUCCAGUUUUAGCCAAAACAUCUGGAACACAUCAACAAAAUUUCGUAUCAAUUUUCAACACUUCAGACUCAGAUUCCAUUUGGGGUCAACAGCAAAAACAAUUGGUAAGAGGCAGAGCUCUCGAAAUAAGCCAAAAACCUAAACUCAAGCUAGCGAAAAUGAAAGCGAUUUGAUUUAGGAUACUUUAUGCCCCAUUUACCACCAGCAGCUGCAAGAGGAGGCACGUCUAGACUCGAAAUUACUGUGUGUAUGUGGUUGCUGCUGAUGUUGCAGCCACUGCUAAUGGCCAUUGCGUCUGUUGCAAAUGUGGCUGGGCUGCAACUCUGCGGCACAUAUUGCGAAAAUCUUCAGCAAAACAAAACAGCGCGAAACCAGACGAUAAUCAAGCGGCCAAGAGUCAAGAAAAAUGGUCAGAAAACUGGUUUUACCAACUCAUUUUUCCUUCUUUUUUCGGUCUUUUCAGGCUUCAGUGGAAGUGCUUUCGGUUUUAGACUCUUUCAGCUUUUGUCUCUCCUCUGUACCUGUCUCUCUCUUUGCGCCAUUUGCCAUUACAAUAAUUCUGUUUGCCCAUUUGUUUUGUAAUGCUAUUACUUUUUGAGUAAGAAUUUCAGCAACAUUUGUGGGUAACAUUUAAGUGCCUGAGGAAGUGGCCUGCAAACAAGUACGAGUUUCGGCUUUAAAGAAGAACGAAGACGAAUUGAAAGGGCUUGGCAUUCUUCAUGCUAAAUGUUAUUUACUUCUUAUGAGGGAUUAUAAUUAUAAAGAAUUUUUAAUAGA
rnacentral:sRNA from 15 species